UCCCUGGUGGUCCAGUGGUUAGGACUCGGACUGGGAACCUGCCGGGGCCCAGGUUCAAUCCCUGGCCAGGGAA